rnacentral:rRNA from 1 species
UGGGGAAUAUUGCACAAUGGGGGAAACCCUGAUGCAGCGACGCCGCGUGAGCGAAGAAGGUUUUCGAAUCGUAAAGCUCUGUCCUAUGAGAAGAUAAUGACGGUAUCAUAAGAGGAAGCCCCGGCUAAAUACGUGCCAGCAGCCGCGGUAAUACGUAUGGGGCGAGCGUUGUCCGGAAUUAUUGGGCGUAAAGGGUACGUAGGCGGUCUAUUAAGUCAGGUGUGAAAGCGUGAGGCUUAACCUCAUUAAGCACUUGAAACUGAUAGACUUGAGUGAAGGAGAGGAAAGUGGAAUUCCUAGUGUAGCGGUGAAAUGCGUAGAUAUUAGGAGGAAUACCGGUGGCGAAGGCGACUUUCUGGACUUUUACUGACGCUCAGGUACGAAAGCGUGGGGAGCAAACAGG